GUUACUUACUGGUGUGUCUCCCAAGUUCAUGAGAAGCUCUGAGGAUUCAGACCUGCUUUUGUCCCUGACUUCCCAUCACAAGGUUAACACACUGUUGACGGAGAUGAGUAAACUGGGGUCAGGGGCUCUGCUUUCCUAUUUGUCUGUAAUUAACCCUGUCUCUUUCCAGCUCAGGUGGAAAGCCUAUUUAUUCUGUGGCUGCCAUGGCCAAUGAGAAGGGUGUUAAGGGCUGAGGCAGUCAGGGUGGCUCAGACCUCGGCUGUGGAUCAUGACCCCCAGGUGACAGCAGGGAGCAGCACCCAGUCUCCUGGGAAGAAAGCCAACUCCUGCCACCUGUCCUCUGUCCCACUCUUAACCUGCUUGCCACCUAACACUCCACCCAUCCUGAGCGCGCCACCACUGGAAAUAAACCCCGGAACAACAAGACCUCUUCAGUUUAUUUCUGGCUCUGCAUCUCUGGUAUACAGAUGCCCUGUCUGUCUCAUGAGUUCACCUGCCAUCUUUCUACGGAGAAAAGACUGCAAGCAGAACUAGGCUUUU